ensembl:lncRNA SSBP3-AS1 SSBP3 antisense RNA 1
UUUUUUUGUUGCAGAGAUGGUGAGGAUGUCUUGCUUUGUUACCCAGGUUGGUCUUGAAUUUGUGGCUUUAAGUGAUCCUCCCACCUUGGCCUCCCAAAGUGCUCGGGUUACAGGCGUAAGCCAACGUGCCUGGCCUGUAUUUUAUUGUAAUUCCUUUUUCCAUUCUCAUCUCAAUGCAUUUCCAAAUUAGAGAAGGACAUCCUUCUUGUCUCACACUUUAAAAAAUAGCAGUUUUCAUGGCAAGCCAACAUUUUAACAUCUUUUCUAUGGCCAGCAAUGAUAGUCAUCUUGUGGAAACGUGUCUGAGGCAUUCUCCUGUCUAUAAAGUCAAAGAUCUCAUUAAGUGCUUUGGCAUGUUUUGAGGAAACCGAAAGGUGACCCAAAACUUUCAUUAUGAAAGCUGGUAUCACAGGUAAGCAAAUUACACCCCUUUGUGACAGUGUCGGGUACGAGGUGUGAACAUUUAGCAGGUAAGAUGUUUUCAUUUUCAUUGGUAAGAAGCUUAUGGACUAAAUGAAAUUUGCUCAAAUUAACUGUGUACUGUCUGCCAAAUAUGUAGAUAAAUGAGCAAAGUCUAGGUUGUAUUUGGACAAGAGAACAACAAUCUCUUACGUCUUCAGUGGCUUCACUAAAAUCUUCACAGAAAUCGAGAAGACGAUCUGAAACUCCAGUUUUCAAAUCAACAUACCUAAGAGCUAGCGGAAACCUGUAGCCAUGACUUCAGGCAGCCCUUGACGCACUCGGAAGCACGAAUGCUGGAAGGAUCAGACAGGGUCAGCACUACUGUAAAGGGGCAAUGCAUCUGUUACUGAAAGUCCCUCGUCCUUUGGUUCACACACAGGACUUUUAGUUUGUAACCUCCGAAUCAGGAAAUGUAACCUUCUUGGUUUGCGGUGCAAUCAAGGGAACAAGAUGAUAAUGGCGUCCAUUCAAGGAGUGCGCCCAAGCUAAUUCUGCGACCACUGUUUUUGACUGAGAACUGCUGUCUCUUUGGAGGUCAAAAAAACCUUGAUUUAGAAAGAUAUGCCUCAGACUUGAGAGACUCAAUGUCCAAUGUGCCUCCACCUCCCCUUCUCCAUAUGCCAUUUCUCACAUUCUUUUCUGCACACCGCGCAGUACAUUCUGUUUGGGUUCUUUCCUCCCUAAUCCAGUUGUGUGUGUCCUUGCAUCUGUCAUUAAAGUAACAUGGUCAUUUAACCUUCUUUCCCAGUGAUGCCUGGGUCACGCUGGUGCUGUCAUUGUCACCGUUCUCAUUUUCAUCAUCUGAACUCUUAGGAAAUACAGUCACAAUAUUCAUGAUGUCAAGACUGAAACCAGCACCGUCUAGACAAAAAGCCCAACACUGAAUCUGCAGCAGACUCCUAGGCAAGUGCUGCUAACAUGCAUGACUGCAGCGUGCGGAGUUGCAGCCUGAGUGAUGUGAUCCAUGGUGAAUCACAAGUCCUGAUGCCAGCAUCCACGUCAGGCAACAUGGCGACAGUGACCACUCGAGGCAGAUCAUCCACGCCAUUUCCAUCCGAUGCUACAAAUGGUGCUGUCAUCCCUCUGUGUGGGUUUCAUACUUUCCACCCAACCUUCUGCAUCACUGACAAAACCCAGGACUUUCUGUGUCCUGGGAUUCCUCAGGAUGUGGGGCUUUUUAGUGUUAAAAGCCAGAUGGUUGGUCACACCAGUGAGGACCCUGGCAACGGAGGCAGGCCAGAAACCAUCCCUCAGAGGGCUGCUGGAUGUAGGCAAUAUCCAGCACAGGGCAGCCCGCGCUCGGGGUUUAACACGUGGGGUGAUCCGGGUGUCACCUCAGGAACGGAGCCAACAAAACCAGAGUGCCCCAAAAGGCCCUACCCCCUCAACCAGGCCAAAGCCUCGCACUUUAGGGCCCCAGGCCCACUCUCUGGCUCUACAGUCUGUAGACCUCCUUUUCAGACCCUGAGCUCCUGGAGGGGCAAGGCUGAACAGGUUCACCUGAGGCCUGCAUGGAGGAGGAAGGGAAGGAACUAGAAUGGAAGGGUUGCCUGUGGAGGGGAAGCAGAUCAGGCCCCGACCUCGGGCAACGCCCCCUGGGUGAGGAGACAGGCUGCAGCUGACUAACCAAGUCCCAUCCAGUGGGUGCAGGGGACACAGGAGGAAGUGGGGCAAGCAGUAAUCAGAAAUGGGGAAAUGUGAGCUGCAACAUCACCCAAGGGCUGCAACUCUGAGAGGCAAAGAAGCUGCCAGGUAUUGGGAGUUCCAGAGCUCCUGGCAGCAGCACAGGCAGGCGGGUCCCCCAGCGAGCCCUGUCCCCUUGCUGCUGGCUCCACCCUCAACUCCAUAGCCCCAGAAACAGACCCAGGAGGAGAGGGAUUGCCCGGGCCACAGCCAGUUUGCUGGGCAGAGACCAGGCCAGACCCCACCUACAGCAUGGCGCUUCCCCCACCAGCACGGCAGGAGGUGGCAAGUCCCAGCAGCACAGCGGGCACCCUGGCUCUAACCAGAGGGUGGGCAUCGUCCCACCCCUUCCUCUCCCACCCCCUGCCGCCCAUGAAAUGGGAACUGAGUUGCCCAAGAGUUAAUCACUUUUCUGACGGUUUAUUUUAUUCAUCUUUGGUAACAAAUGGCUGAAAUCAAUUAAACUUGCUUUCCCCUCA